AACAUUAGAUUUCAUUGUUACAGUGUUUUCUAUGGGUAUACAGCAGAUUUACAUUAGAUUCCAUUGUUAUCAUUAAGCUUAAAAUGCUUCAAACCAAACCCCAUGGCACUCAAAUGAGUGCCAUGGGAUUUGGUCGAUUUUGCGUGACUCUCACACGUUUUUGUGUUAGAACUUUCAAGCGUGUUUGUUUUGAUCGCAAAACAUCAGCUCAACUUCGUAGGCAGCUUAUUACAUUAUUUGUUUCUAAUUUCUACCUCUCAUGAAAGGCUUCCAACUGUACACGAAUGUGGAGGAAUUCUUUGCCAACAGCAAGUUGGAGCGGUGAUAUUCGACGAGCUGCAACUAGUGUCGCCAGCGAAUUCCUUCCUCCCUCCCUCGGUAUUGCCGUGGGCUGGUUGGUGAAACUUCCGGACAUACAUUCAGAGUAUGGAUGUGCCAUUGGGAACAUAAUGGUGUUCAAUAUAAUCUUGUUCGAUCGUUACGUCCGGGAUGAAAAUGGGAGCCACAUGCUUAAUAAGGAAACCAUUACCCUGUACACUCAGAAGGUUCCUCUAUAGGCACAUUCAGGAGGGUCUACUAUAGGCAGUCGGCAGCGAGGCAGAUAACAUCAAAUGGGGAAUCCACUAUAGACGCCAACAUAUUUGUAAACCCGAUGGGGUCCAUUACAAAGCCGUUCUGUGCAUAAUUGUUCCAUGUUAUAUGGGAUUCCUAUAUAACAUGGGACAAGUGGGCGUAGAACGACAGUACAGGCAACGUCGAUGUAUAUUGAUAUUUUCAAAUGCGUAUUUUACUGGAAUAAUUAAUUAAUGUAUAUGUUUUCAAUAGGCUCCUAAAGGCCUAUCUCAAUUUCUGCAUAAUUCGAUCAAGCAUUAAAUAAAACGACAUGUUUACUCAUUUUUUAAGUAUUCCUAUUAGGUAAAGCCCAUAAAAUAUAUUUUCAAAAAUUUUAAUAAUUUUUGCAACACUCCUUGUUUAGCACUCAAUUUUGGGUAAAUUUUGUUUACCGUGUAUGUCAAACAGGAACAUUUGUUGUCAAAAGUGAGCCAAUGUGGUGUCUUUUGCAACCCGCCGUUUCACUUUCGUUACGUCAAGGUUGACCUCGAAUGUCAAACAAAACUUGCUCAUCAUUAUUUUAUUUUCGAGUUUAUUAACUAUUCUGUUAUUGUUCAAGUUCGAAAAAAAUACCAUUGAGAUCAGAAAACCAAGCUCUUUCGUGUUAUGCACCAAAAGCGCGAAAAUAUUUUUCAUUUUAGGACCCUAUUAAGGUAACUUUGCUAAAACGCCGCAGAAGUAAACUUUGGUAGCGUAGAUAGUCUGUUACUAGCACCCAAACCCUAUAAGACACCCAGUGGUCCAAUGAAGAAUGUUUCGUUUGACAAAAAGCUCUGACUGGUGUUGUAAUCGAACCAAUAUUCCAUGGCUAAUAAUAUGCCUAAACAUCUGGCGCCGCCCAUCGUUUGGCCACAUCUUUCCGUGAAUCAACUAUCGCAGUAAAGUCGGGUAGUUUGGCCACUCUAAACAAAAGUCGACUGAAGAUGCAGAAAAUAUCGUAUUGUCAUAAUGAUUCUGAUACAGUAGACGUUCGAUAACUGCAACAUGUUUACGUUUCACUUAGCGAACGAAAAUCCGAUAACUGCAACGCCUGACAGUGUCAACAAGCCAUCAAUUGACGUAAAAUGAACGAAAAAUUCAUUCGACUGUUCAUUAGGGCUAACAUGGCGCACCGUUUUGACGUUUGGCGGUGCGAUAACUGCAAAUUUAUUGCAGUUACCGGACUUGCAGUUAAAAAGCAUUGCAGUUAAACCGUUUGCACCGACCGAACGUCUACUGUAAUACUACACUGGAUAACGAUUAAGUAUCUAUUACAAUCUUCUAGUUUAAACACAUAAAUGUAAUCAAAAUUGCUUCAUUUAGGACAUCUUUUUUUGUAUCACUGGAAUAGAAUUAUCUUUUGCUUUUGGAUGCUUUGAAGGGUCUUCUAAUAUAGGUUAUAACCUCAUUAAAUUAAAUACUGAAUUAGAACUAUCUUUGGCAUAUGGAUGUUAGGAAAGGUCUUCUUAUAUACGUUCGCUCUUUAAGACUGGAACACAUAUCAUAAGUUCAACUCAAUCGGUGCAAAUUUAUGCUAUGGGCUCCAGGCUUUAGUCUAACGGGUGUCUUCAUUGCCAGGACAAUGAUCAAGCACGCUGUAAUGUUACUUUUGUACCUCAUCACCCACUAAAUGCAACUACAUUAGUGGACUAAUAACACUUAGCGCGUUCCGGCACGGUUCCAUCAUGCCGCUUAUAGUGUUGCCACAUAUAAUGCUUAGUCUGCUAAACCCAGUUAUCUGGCUGGUGGGGCAUGGGAGCCUAAGCUUCGACCAUUAAUGCAAUUAGACGUUACUUCAGACAUGAGUGAUUCGAAUAUUUGAAGAACUAUUCAAACUAUAUAGAAGCUUGUGUAUAGUCAACAUUUAACGAACUUAACUAUGCAAUAUUUUGCAUUUUAACGCUUCGAACGAUCUUCAAGUAUAGGUUCAAGUUGUAACAUAUCGAGUUUUUUUAGUGCUACAAUAAUGGUUAAGCACGCUGUAAUGUUACUUUUGUACCUCAUCACCCACUAAAUGCAACUACAUUAGUGGUCUAAUAACACUUAGCGCGCUUAGGCACGGUUCCAUCAUGCCGCUUAUAGUGUUGCCACAUAUAAUGCUUAGUCUGCUAAACCCAGUUAUCUGGCUGGUGGGGCAUGGGAGCCUAAGCUUCAAUCAUUAAUGCAAUUAAACAUUACUCGAUUUACGACAUUAUUGAUCCAAAUAUUCGAUAAUUGUUCGAUCUGUGCUCUUGAAAUGUAGCCUGAAUGUAGCAUAAAAUAUACAAGCUUCUAGUCCAAAUGCAUAAAGAUAGUUCAGAUUCAUUGUUUUUCAGAACUUUUUCAAGCAAUGAUUAACAAAAGUAAAAAGUAGAAAUAGAUAAAACCAUUCCAAAUAGUUCAUAUUCGUUGGUAGUAUUUAGAACAUUAUAAUUUUCUGUUUCACAGUAGAAAACAAUUCCCAAACCAUUGAAUAGGGCAAAAUAGUAUGUUCCGUAAUCACAAUUGGAAGCAAUUCCAAAACAAUAGAAUCUAAUGUGUAAUUAAGUCACUGCUCAAAGAACAAUAUAAAAACACAAGAAUCUUCUGUAUCACAAUAGAAAACAAUUCCCAAACCAUUGCAUCAAAUGUGGAACCAGUAAUAAAAUUACUAUUCAAAACAA